UUUAAAUUCAAAAAAGAUUAAAAGUGGUGUACAGGUGAGUAUUAUGAUAUUCUUAGCCGGCCUUAAAGUGGAGAUAAAUUCUUCAUAAUUAAUAAAGGGUAGAUAUCCUACCCGCUUUAAGAGGAUAAUAAAUGUCUUCGGGAUAGGUAGUAGUUAAGGUGAUGACUUAACUAGCCUUAAACUUUCGUAGUCGAAUCUGAGAGGUUGAUCGACCACAUUGGGUCUGAAAAAACCCCAAUGCAAUUUAGUACAGCAGUGAGGAAUCUUGGUCAAUGGUCUAAAGACUGAACUGGCAACUUGGAGAAGGGGUAAGUCUUUAUAAUCCGCAUAUAAAAAUUAAUUAAUAUUAAUUUAAAAAAAAAUAGUCCAAACUAAUAAGAUUCCCCGGGGAAGGGGGGGAUUGAAUUAGGUAAUAAAUGAAACUUUGUUUAUAUAUAGAUAAUGACAAUAUAUAUAUAGCGUCUUGACUAAUUUACGUGCCAGCAGUCGCGGUAAUACGUGAGAGACUAGUGUUAUUCAUCUUAAUUGGGUUUAAAGGGUACCUAGACAGUCAAUAUAACUUCUAGAAUGCUAAUACUUGACUAGAGUUUUAAGUAAAAGGGAAGUACUUGAGGAGUAAGAGAUGAAAUAUCUGUGAUACCAAAGGGACUCGGUAAAGGCGAAGGCAUCCCUUUAUCUAAAAACUAACGUUGAAGGACGAAGGCUUAGAUAACAAAUAGGAUUAGAGACCCUAGUAGUCUAAGCAGUAAACGAUGAAUGCUAUAGGUUAGAUUAACAUUUGGUCUAUAAAUGAAAAUGUAAGCAUUCCACCUCAAGAGUAAUGUGGCAACGCAGGAACUGAAAUCACUAGACCGUUUCUAACACCAGUAGUGAAGUAUGUGUGCGACAAGAAGCAGAUAUUAGUAAUACGGUGUGAUUCCGUUUGGUAUUUUCUCUACCUAACACUAUUUACAUAUGCAAAUUAGUAAUGAUUUGUGUAAAGCUGUAAAGACAAUGUAGCCUCUCUUAAAUGGGAAUGUUAAUGUAGAUACGUUUCUAUAUUACCUGGAGCUAGUGUAAGUAAGAUAUGGAAAGCGAAAGCGAAAUUAGCUACGACGCUUUAAUACAAAGGAAGGUAAUAGAUUCGACAUACUAAGCUAUUAGAGAAACCAUAUUUCCGUUAAAGUAAAGCUGAUUUCCUAAGUCUUACGUAAAUUGUACUAAUAUCUGAACUUGGUAACCCCUUUAUCUUCAGUAAUGUACUAGAUAUAUUAAAGAGGUAAUAUAUAAGACUUUAUAAGUUGAAAUUGUUAUAUCCGAUAAAGGGAAGAGGAUUUGUUAAAAAGCAAAUGCUUUAUUUAGAUUUCAAUUGAAGUAAAUCUAAAUAAUAGAUAAAGAUAUAUAUUAUUAUAUUAUAUUAUAUUUUUAAUGUAAAAGAAUAAAUUUCUUUUUAUUAAAGUAAUUAGUUAUUUAAAUAUUUAUAUAUAAGCUAAAAUUGGCUGGAAAUGAAAAAUAUAAAAUUAUUUAGUACUUUAGUACCACAAAAUAAUAUAAAUAGUCGUCUAUCUUGAUAUAUAAGCGGUUUAGUAGAUGCAGAAGGAAGUUUCGGUGUAACUUUAGUUAGAAAAGAAUCUAGUAUAAUAGGCUAUUCAAUUCUAAUUUAUUUUGAAAUAGCUUUAAAUCAAAAAGAUAAACAACUACUAGAAACUAUAAAGCAAGUAUUAGGGAUUGACAAAAGUUUAUAUUAUAAUAAAAGGGAUAACACCUUAAAAUUAAGAGUAUCUAAUUUAUAUGUAUUAAUUAAUAAUGUGAUACCUCACUUUAAUAAAUUUACACAAAAGAGAGUAGACUUUCUAUCAAUGUGUAAAAUAAUAGAACUAGUGCAAUAAAAAAGCCAUUUAACUACAGAAGGGUUAAAUGAAAUACUAAGUAUAAAAGCUACGAUGAAUCUAGGAUUAUCUAACAAAUUUAAGAAUGAAUUUUUAACAGUAAAAUCGUUAACUAGAUUGCCAGUUGAGACUGGUAUUCCUAAUAAGGAUUGAUUAGUGGGAUUUAUGGAAGGAGAAUCGUGUUUUUUUGUAAGGGUAUAUAAUUCACCUAGAUCUAAAUUAAAUCGUGCUGUUCAAUUGGCAUUUAUAAUUACGCAGCACUCUAGAGAUAAAGUACUGUUGGAAAAUAUAUCUAGAUUAUUAGAAUGUGGUAGAGUAGAAACAAGAAAAUCUGGAGAUGCUUGUGAUUUUGUAGUAACAUCAUUUAAUGAUUUCAAUAAAUAUAUGAUACCGUAUUGAAAAAACUACCCUUUAAUUGGUCAUAAAUCAAAGGAUUGUUUAGAUUUUAUAAGAGUAUAUGAAAUAAUGCUAACUAAGGGUCAUUUAACUGAAGAGGGAUUGACUAAGAUAGUAGAAAUAAAAAACUCUAUGAACACUAAAAGAAAGUAGAAUUUAAUAUUAAUAUUAAAAGCGUUAGAUUAUUCUGAGAAUAGUUUAUUAUAAAUUAGAUCAUUUUUACUAAAUACGGUUAUUAUAUAAAAUAAAAUAUGAAUUGAAUUCUAGUAUGUAUUACUAGGUCUCUAAAAAACUUAUGUUAAACUAAAUAAUAUAAUAUAUAUAUUAGUUAAGAUUUUUAAAUCUUAAUAUAGCUGACUUGACAAGGGUGAAAUUUUACAUAAUUAAGAUGGUAUGUUAGAUUAUAUCUGAAAUUAUGUUUGGGGCGAAGGCUCCUGUAGAAAAUUUUUACUUGAGCCGUAUGCGAUGAAAGUUGCACGUACGGUUCUUUAAGGGGGAAAGUCCGAGAGGGCCUACCUAUCUUGACUGUUUAAUUCGAUGACCCACGAAAAACCUUACCACAAUUUGUAUAAUAUUAUUAUAUUACAGGAGUUGCACGGCUGUUUUCAGUUAAUGUUGUGAAGCUGUGGUUUCCAUGAAAUUAACGUAAUCCCUGGCUUUAUUUUAUAAUUUUUUUCGAUAGAGCAGAUUUUUCCUUGAUAUGGGGGAAAAAAAAAGGGGACAAAGACAAGUCAUCAUGGCCCUGCUGAAUGAUUUAGGAAAUCAUUAUCGUGGGAUAAACUAUCAAACUCCGGGAACACCCUAAAGUUUCUGGUACUAAGCCUUAUAUGAAAAUAUAUGAGUGGCUGAAGCAAUUACUCAUGUACAGUAACAAGCCAGAAAAUGAGUGAAAACGGAAUGGGUUAUCGCGGAUCUAAGUCAAUAAAUAUUAAUACUUUAUUUGUAAAAGAGCAACGAGUAGAUGGUAGUUACGUUAAUAACUUAGCGUUAAGGUAUACUCUAACGAGUUUCGAAAGAAAUUCUCAAGUCAAAAUCCUUUCUAACCAAAUAAAUCAAAUAAGGACAUAUUCAGCCAAUAACAUUUCCCAGAAAAAAGAUGUUAUGGAUUGCAUAAAUCCCUGGUUCAUGACUGGUUUUACUUUUUUUUUUUAUAUUCAUAAAAAAACAGCAGAAGGUACUUUUUCUCUAUUAAUUAUACAUAAUAAAAAUUAUGCUAUAAAUUGAAGAGUUAAAGCUAUAUUUGCUAUAGGAUUACACACUAAAGAUCUUGAUAUGUUAGAAAAUAUAAAAUCUUUUUGAAAAGUAGGAAAUAUACAUAAGCAUAGUGAACAUUCUUUACAAUAUAGAGUAGAAUCUAUCAAAGAUUUACAAGUAAUUAUAGAUCAUUUUGAUAACUAUCCACUUGUAACAUGUAAAAUAAUUGAUUAUGAUAUAUUUAAAAAAGCUUUUUCUAUAAUUAAGAAACAAGAACACCUAACUGAGAAAGGUAUUUUAAAACUAAUAGGAUUAAAAUCUUCUCUUAAUUUAGGUUUAACCGGUAGACUUAAAUAAGAGUUUCCUAAUUGAAAGGAUCUUAAGAUAAAUAGACCUGAGUAUACAUUUAAAGGUAUACCUCAUCCUCAAUGAAUGGCGGGAUUUUCAAGUGGAGAUAGUAGUUUUAACAUUAAAAUAAGUCAAUCUUUAACUAGUAAAUUAAGUACAAGAGUUCAAUUAAGAUUCUCAAUAGGUUUACAUAUUAGAGAAAAAGAAUUAAUUGAGUAUUGUGUUAAAUACUUUAAUUUAAUUGAAGGGAAAUAUGUUUAUUUAAAAAGUAACUCUGUUACUUUAGAAAUAACUAAUUUUAAUGAUAUUGCUAAUGUAAUCAUACCUUUUUUCGAAAAAUAUCCUAUUAAGGGUAAAAAGAGUUUAGAUUUUUUAGAAUUUAAUAAAGUUGUAGGAGUAGUUAAGAAUAAACAACAUUUAACUCAAGAAGGAUUAGAUAAAAUAUUAAUUAUAAAAUCUAGAAUGAAUCAGUAAAUUUAUUUAAUUUAUUUGUUUGAUAAAUUUGAUCGCUGUGAAUAUUGUGGGCUGAUAUGUGUUUAGGGAAAACACUAAAUUGGCUAAAACUAUCAAAUUCCGGGGACUUCCUAAAGAUUUUGAUACUAAGCUAUAAUUGAAAAAUUAUAAGUGGCUGAACUAAUUCUUCAGAUAGAGUAACAAGUCAAAAUAUGAACGAAAGUAAAAUGGAAUAUCGCGGAUCUAAAUCAGCAAUAUGUAAUGCUGUAAAAGAGCAACGAGUAGACGGUAGUUGACUUCUAUAUAAUAUAGCUGAACCUAAAAGAAGUUUAAGGUGUACUCUAAUGGGUUCCGAAAGGAACUAUCAAAUCAAAAACCCAACUAACCAAUUAUUAAAUAGAACUUAUUGUACUCAAUCUAAUAAUCAAGCAUUGAAUCCUUGAUUUAUAACAGGAUUUUCUGAUGCAGAGUCUUCUUUUAUUAUUUCUAUUUAUAAAGAUGAAAAUAAUAAGUUAAAAUGAAGAGUAUCAGCUUAUUUUUCUAUACAUGUUCACAUAAAAGAUCUGCCUUUAUUAGAACUAAUUCAAAAAACUUUAGGUGUAGGUAUAGUUAGAAAAAAUAAUAAAAAUACUGUUUUAUUUAGAGUUAGUAAUAUGCAAGAAUUACAAAUAGUUAUAGAUCAUUUUAAAAGAUAUCCUUUAAUUAGUGCUAAAUAUUCUGAUUUUUUAUUAUUUGAACAAUGCUAUAAUUUAAUAAAACAAAAAGAACAUUUAACACAAAAAGGAAUGGAAAAGAUUUUAGCUUUAAAAUCUAAUUUAAAUAAAGGUUUAUCUAAUGAAUUAAAAGAUGCUUUUGCUGCUAAUAUUGUACCUGUAAGUAGACUUGAAUAUAAAUUUACCGGUAUACCAAGUCCUUUUUGAAUCUCUGGAUUUGCUACUGGUGACUCGUCAUUUAGUGUUUCUAUAGAGAAAAGUACAAGUAAAGUAGGCAAAAGAGUAAGAUUAAUUUAUGGUACUUGUUUACAUAUUAGAGAUAAAGACCUAUUAAGAGGUAUGGCAAAGUAUUUUAAUUCCUUGCCUUCAGGGUGUAUAGAUGUAGUUAAUAAAGAAAUUUCAAUACAUUGUAAUGAAAUAAAUAAUACUUCUUUACUACAAAUUAAAAAUAAUUCAGAUAUUGAAAAUAAAAUUAUACCUUUUUUUAAUGAGUAUCCUAUACUUGGAGUAAAAAAAUUAGAUUAUGAAGAUUUUAAAAAAGUAGCUGAAUUAGUUAAAAAUAAAGAACAUUUAAAUGUUGAAGGUUUAAAUAAAAUAAUAAAAAUAGCAGAAGGAAUGAAUUUAAGUAGAAAAUGAUAAGUACUAUUAAAAAUAAAACUUAUAGUUUGUUUUAUAUAAUUGUAUGUAAAAUUUGAUUAUCCAUGAUAGACGUGCCACAUAUGCCUGCUUAUUGAUCUAGGGUAUCAAGUGUGCGGGAUAAACUAUCAAAUUCCGGAAACACCUUAAAGCUUCUGAUACCCGGCCAUAUCCGAAAGUAUAUUGGUGGCUGAAUUAACUACUCAGGUAAGGUAAUAAAUCAGAAGAUGAUCGAAAGAGAAAUAGGUAAUCGCGGAUCUAAGUCAAUUAUAGGUUUAAAUGUCCCGCAAGCCGUUAACAAACUUCUAAUUGUAAAAGAGCAACGAGUAGACGGUAGUUAUACUAAGAAUUUAGUAUUAAGGUAUACUCUAAUGGGUUCCGAAAGGAAUUCUCGAAACAAAGCCCUUUCUAAAGUAUAUGUUAGUCAAUUACAAUUAAUACAUUAUUAUUCUAUUAUUGCGCAUAUUUCUGACUUACAAAAUACUAUAUUAAAUCCUUGAUUCAUAACAGGAUUUUGCGAUGCAGAGGGAUCUUUUUCUAUUUAUCUGAGAAAAAAAUCAGGAGGCUCUACAUAUAGUGAAGCUAGGUUUGGUAUCAGUUUACAUAAGAAGGAUCUAGAUACUUUAAAACGUAUUCAAGUAUAUUUUAAAGGUAAAGGGAGUAUAGUGAAGCAUGGUGAAGAUAGUAUUCAAUAUGCUAUAACUUCUAUAGAACAACUUUCUACCCUAGUUAUACCACAUUUUGAUAACUAUCCUUUAAUUAGUAAAAAACAUGCUGACUAUCUUUUAUUUAGGAAGGCUGUUCUUUUAAUCAGAAAUAAAAAACAUUUAACAAUAGAAGGAUUACAAGAAAUUGUAUCAAUCAAAGCUUCUAUGAAUAAAGGUUUAUCUUAUGAAUUAAAGGAAGUUUACCCUAAUACCUUAAUAGUACCUAGACCUUUAGUGCCAAACAGUAUUAUACCUGAUCCUGAAUGAGUUGCUGGAUUUACAUCAGGUGAGGGUUGUUUUAUGAUUAAAAUUAGCAAAUCUCCUGCAUCCAAAUUGGGAUUUGGAAUACAAUUAAUAUUCCAAUUAACUCAAAAUAAUAGGGAUGAAGCAUUAAUGAAGUGUAUACUUACCUAUUUUGGAUGUGGUACAUUGGUGAAGGACGGAACUAAAAUUGUUUUUUUUGUAAGAAAAUUCUCAAACAUUAAAGAUAUAAUAAUUCCGUUUUUUAAUGAUCACAAAAUAGUAGGUGUAAAGUUACAAGAUUUCUUAGAUUGAUAUAAAGCUGCUGAGAUAGUUAAAGCAAAAGGUCAUUUAACUCCCUUAGGGCUAGAUGAACUAAAAAAAAUAAAAGUAGGUAUGAACCGUAACAGAAUAUAAUAUUAAGUUAUGUUAUAUGUUAAUAUAAAAUAAUAGAAGAUAGUGAAGGCUAAAUUGUAAGAUUAAUAUAUAUCAUGAUAAAUUUGAUAUGCCGUGAGACAAAGAGAUGCAAAAAUGUGAAUUGAAGCUAAUCUCAAAAAAUAGGAUAUAAUAAGGAUUGUAGUCUGAAAUUCGACUACAUGAAUAAGUAAUUACUAGUAAUCGUGAAUCACCAUGUCACGGUGAAUUAACCUUGGAUUGGUACUAACCACUCGUCACAUGCUGAAAGGAGCAUGCGCAAUAAGUUUGCUUUCUUAAUUAGAGUUUGUGUCGUGUCUAUUAUUAGGAAUCUUCGUAUGCGUGGCUCUAAUUAGUGUU
rnacentral:rRNA from 1 species